AUGGUGUGUUUGUUUCCCUCUCAGGCACCUUUAAGAAAAAUUCGGUCUGAGCUUCCUGGUCUGGUGGGACAGCAUGUGUAUAAGUGGAAGAAGAGUAUCUUCUGCAUCUCAUGUGCCGCACAGCUGUACUGUUUUUCCCCCCGAGCAAGAUUACCUCUGAGCGGAGGGGAGGCCUGCCGCGCUCCACCCCGCAGCCAACCGCCAGCACCCGACCCAGCUGGGAGCGCUGCGGGGGCGAAGGGGAGGACACCCGCACGCUCCAGUGCCGAUGCGGUUGCAGAAGUUGCAUCCCAGGAUCUAGAAUGGAAAUGCACCCAGCAUUUAUUUUGCAUUCGCCUCCAGGUAAAGUUAUAUGCCAGAGCAGCAGUAAAGGAGCCCGCCAGCUUCCUAACAAGCUCCCCGCCAAAGGCUCCUUCACCCUGCGCUGUGCAUGAGGUACGUAUAAGGCAGAUGACCCUUGGAUUUCAAAUCCCUAAUGUGUGGAAAAAGAAUGAGCUUGGGCUGAGAUGGGGAGGCUGGAUAUUUACCUCUCACAGAAAUGGUUAGGAAUUAGACUUGUAAACGUUGUCAAAAUCCUGUACCAGAAAGCCUGGGGCAGAGCGGUUUCCUGCGGAUCGCGCCGGGUAGCUGUGGCAGAGCAGGGCUGGCCGUAGCUUUUCUAAGAGCUGGUCUGCUGGCCAAGCCAAGGAGUCGUUCACGGAGGGUAACACCCAACCCCGCAGUAAAGCUGAGACUAAAGGAGCAGUGGGAGCUGGGUGAUGUGAUUUAUGGAACAUGGGUGACAAGAGGGAUCCUCCACCCGUCUAUGUCCAGACUUCACGAUUCUCAAUGGAGAGGUAGCGCUUGUAUGGAUAUUUUUUUUUAAAUGGGCAGAGGGAAAGGCCUUCAGCUGCUGCACGUGAAGUGCGUGCAUUGUGCCAAGCGCUUACGGCAGGCUUUGCUUGGAGCUCUCCUCUCCCUGGCGCUUGAAUCAGACCAGCAGAGAAGGUCUGCGGUGGGGAAGCCCUGCUCGGGCGCUGGUGACGAGGGAGGGCUGCCGCAGAAAUCUGCCUCGGGCGGAUGCCAGUGAGCCCCGGGGAGGGAGCGGGGCCGAGGUGCCGUGUUCGGGCAGGGAAGGUCGAUAACCACAGGAUGGAGCGUGGCUUUGUGGAAGGGAAGAGAGGGAGGGUGGUGAGCGAGACCCUCUUAUCUGCUUCCUUGCUGCUCUGUCUGCUUCCUUCCAUCAGCGUAUCGUGACCUUUCCAUGCCCACCAGUACUCAACAGUCCUUCCAGGCCCAGCUUUUUGGGGGCCCAGCUUUUUUGUUUUCCCUUGCUACCUGCUGCUCUUUUAAACUCCUCCAGCGCCGCUCCCCUCCCAGCAGCCUGCGGCUCCCGGACCUCGGAUUCAUCCCCUUUCCCUUCCCCACCUCUUCUCAUCGCUGCCUACCUGUGCGGUCCUAUCUCCCUCCAUCCUAGAGAGACCAGCUCUAAGGCAGACCCUUUCUCAUUUCCUUCCCUGCUUGCUUCCUCCCUUUUCCCCAUCAAACCCAGAACCCGUUAGCUCCCUUUGCAGUGGCUAACCCAGGCGUAUCACAUUGGUGCGCAGCCUUCGCUGAGCCAGGGAUACGCUGGCUCCCUGAUAACAAGCACCCAGCCACCGUCCAGCGUCCCGGCCCGUAGGCAGCACGCGUGCCUCCCGCUGCGCCCUCUGGGCUGCAAGGGGUUAAGGCAGGGCUGAAGGCUGCUGUGCAAUGGUAGGGUACCAGGCUGAAAAGCUGAAAAGGCUAGUAACAAAAAACCAGCUGCUUCUCUGUCUGUAGCCUUGAGAUUGCAAUGCUUGUUGCAAGUUGUUUCUGUUUCUCAUAAAUGCUUCUCUUACAGAAAGGAAGUUUGGUUGAAGCACAUGGAGGAAAAUAAUGUGAAAAAUGUUGAAACUCUGCCCAGCUGGCAUGAGGUAAUACUAGUGAGUGCUCUGAUCUGCAGGCUACAAUAAAUAUAUCCUGGGAUGGGCCGUUUACA
rnacentral:lncRNA from 1 species